UGGGAAGCUGAGCACGGGCAGGGUCCGCAGCUGCGCAGAGAAAGAAACGGAGGGUCUUAACUAACAAGGUCGGCCUCUCUUCGGGGUGAAAACAUUGGCAGGAGUUUAUAGUUUAUCACAGGAAGAACAUGGGAGAAUUGAAGUAAUACAGGGGAGGAUGAGGAGACACAGCUAUCAAGUAUGUGCCGUCCUACAGGAUAAGUUCAUCUGUCUGCUGGGCAUCCUUCAACGACGUCUUCCUUGAUUAGAAAAAAAUGCUGCUCCUAUCCUACAGUGGCAUGGACUGUGGACACAGACAGCCAUACCUCGGUGAUGGAGUGGUAAAUCUAAUUACUACCUGACUUUCAUUUCCCAGCUGUUAAUUUUUAGCUAUGAAAUCCAAUUGAAAUCUUAUCUUAUCACGUACACUGAUUCUUCAAUGAACUCAUCUUUAUCUCUAAUACUAUGUUUGUGGAUGUGAUCUCCUACUCGCUUUUUGGUUGCUUUUUAUUUAUGUGCAUGUUUGUGUAUUCAUGUGUGAGUAUGUGGACACAAGAGUGCAUUGUAUCUGAGGUCAGAAGAGGGGACCUGAUGUCCUGGAGAUAGAGUGAGACCCAGUUUUAAGCUGCCUAAUGCGAGUGCUAGGCCUGCAACUUGGUUUGUCUGCAUGAGUGUGAAGUGCUCUUAGCUGCUGAGCCAUCUUCCAGCCCCCAGAUUUUCUUUUGAUUCAGAAGAAUAUGUCCUUUGCAAAUAGAUGCAGUUUAUCUUAACUGUGACGUGGAGAAGACAUAGAAGAGAUAAUCAUACCUAAUAUUUGUUUUUCUCAUGGGUUACCCUGAUGGCAUGCUUCAGUACGAGGUACAGCAGGAAUGCUAAGUUUUGGCAUCUUUGUCUCAUUUAUUUUCUUUGGAGUAGUAAGUUUUGUUCUUUUUUGUUUGUGUGUGUCUGUGUGUUUGUGUGUGUCUUCAUGACCAACAUGUGUUCAUGUACCAGUAGACAUCAGAGAUUAACCUAUGGUAUUGUAUUUCAAGUGGCAGACUCCUUGUUUUUGUUUUAAAUUUAAUAGAUUUUACUUUAUGUAAACAGCUAUUUUGCCAAUAUAUGUGUGUAUGCAACUCUUUUGUGCCUGGUACCUACUGAGGCCAGAAGAGGGCACUGUUUCUCCUAGAAACAGAGCCACUGAUGCCUGAGUUACCACAUCGUUCCUGGGAAUUGAAACCAGGUUUUCUCU